rnacentral:rRNA from 1 species
GACGAACGCUGGCGGCGUGCUUAACACAUGCAAGUCGAACGGAAAGGCCCUGCUUUUGUGGGGUGCUCGAGUGGCGAACGGGUGAGUAACACGUGAGUAACCUGCCCUUGACUUUGGGAUAACUUCAGGAAACUGGGGCUAAUACCGGAUAGGAGCUCCUGCUGCAUGGUGGGGGUUGGAAAGUUUCGGCGGUUGGGGAUGGACUCGCGGCUUAUCAGCUUGUUGGUGGGGUAGUGGCUUACCAAGGCUUUGACGGGUAGCCGGCCUGAGAGGGUGACCGGCCACAUUGGGCCUGAGAUACGGCCCAGACUCCUACGGGAGGCAGCAGUGGGGAAUCUUGCACAAUGGGCGGAAGCCUGAUGCGGCAACGCCGCGUGCGGGAUGACGGCCUUCGGGUUGUAAACCGCUUUCGCCUGUGACGAAGCGUGAGUGACGGUAAUGGGUAAAGAAGCACCGGCUAACUACGUG